UCCAGCUAUAGGCAACUGCCUAGGUUGCAUUAUAUCUAGGCAAGUGUUACAUUGUUGGGAGAAAAGCAGCUAAGCGGUGACAGGUAUUCUAGGCCUGGUUAAUGCCAAAUUUGUAUUAAACAUA
rnacentral:snoRNA from 1 species